CCAUUGACCAUGCUAUAAAACCCCACCCCUCUUCUGUAGAGAGAGAUCUUUUCUCCUCUUCUCCGAUGGCCCCGCGUCUGUUCCCCCGAAUGACCAAACUGCCCCCGGCCCGCCGGCCCGUCGCGCGCUAGCUCGGAGGGCAUUUGGGUCAAUGUAGGGGCGCUGGACGUGGUGGAGCGAUAGAAGGCAGACAGGAUGGAGCCAGGCAUUCGAGAGAGGAACCACGGCGGCUUCUACGGGGGGAGAGACGCAGCGAGAACGACCCAAACCACUCGCCGUACGCCGAAGCUCGGUGUCCCUCGCAUGGUGUUUAUGUAUCUAUGCACACACGGGAUCUAACGGUCCAUGAUGAUGUUGACAAAUGUUUAUGGCAGCAUUGUCCAAGAAAAUGAAUGGUUACUCAAGAAAAGAUUAGCGUUGUUGUAGCAUCAAUUCCUUGUUUGUUGUGUUACUCAAGAAAAGAUUCCCUUCUCUCCUUUUUUUCAGCAAAAAUUCCUUCUGUACCUUUUGUCCAGAUCGGUCGCAUUCUCCUACUACUGAUAUUUGUUGUCCGCAUGAACAUUCUCAUUGACAAAUGUCUCUGGCAGCAUAACUGAAUACUCAGGCAUCGGUAAACUAGUUGAUCGCCUCUUGUGAGAUUGCAAACUGAUCCAUAUUGCAGCGUUAUCUCCUUACUGCUAUCAUCAAACCUAGUCACUCUUUCUUUUCUAUGCAUCCCCAAUAUGCAUAAUGAUAUGUUGCCUAAACUAAUAAAUGUGAGGUUCAGCAUCUUGGAUGAUAAUUUUGCUAUGAUUAUCAUAUGGCAAGAAUGUGGAUUCAUUUGGCUCUCUUACUUCCACAUUCAUUUUUUGUGUGUCUAUGGCACAUGCAUUAGCAAGGGAAAUUUGUGAUCUUCAUUAAAAUUAACUUGGUAAUGACAUAUAUUGAACUUGAUCGAUAGCUUUAUGAUCAUUUUAUGGCUAGAAUAGCAUCCAGAUUUUAAGUGUAGAGGCUCAAUGAAUGGUUUUGUUUGUUCCUCUUUGUUUGCUAUCUUGAGUACUAGACUUCUUCUGGCUUUUCUAUUGGCUUUUAAAGACUUGGCAUGAUAAUCCCCUUUUCCUUAUUUUUAUCUUCUUUCCAAUCUUGGAGCAGAUGUUCAAUAGGGUGCUGGAGCAAGGUUUGUUUUUAACCUUAACCUAUAUAAAACUAUUCCUCAGUUGCCUUGUGACUUUAGAAAAGAGCAAGAUAAAUGUUCAUGGAGAUGCCACAUUGUAUUAGCAAAAGCCUAAGAAGUUUGACGGAGAACUAGAUGGAGAAGGACUUAGCCUCUUAACAAAGGAACUAGCAAGGCCCACAAUCUCAGUACCAGGUACCGUAUCGGUACCUUACUGGUUCGGUAUGGUACGGUCAAUAUUGUAUGAUAUGUAUUAUGUACCCAAAUGGCUUUCUAACUAUUUUUCUCAAUUUUUAUAUCGAUACGCCUCAAUAUAGAUUGAUACACUUUGGUACGGGUCAGUAUGCACCUCGAUACACCUCAAUAAAGAUCGGUGUGCCGCGGUACAGGGUGGUACAGUUUUGUAUGGAGUGGUAAAGGAUUUGUACCGACUCGAAAUUGAGUUUCGUAUUAGUUUUCUCUUGGUAUGGUACAGUAUGCCCCAUACCGGGCGGUAUGAGGCAAGAGGCAGACCAUGGAAACUCGCAUUUGAUGGUGAGUAUCCUUGUUUUGGUUCAACUACCUUUGUUGUUGUUCUUGUAUCUUCUUUUAAGAUUUUAGUUUUGCUAAUGAAUCACUUGGUGAUCUUAUACAUGAAUUUUUUGGGGAGAGUGUGGUGGAUCAGAUGAGUUCUAUCCCGAUUCUGGACCUAUGAUAAAUUGGAAACUUGAGAGGAAUUUUGCGUACUUGAGGUCUUGUUGUUUCUAGUUUCAAAACUCAAUCAGCCACAUAUGGUUCUUUUGCAUUAGUGAUGUUGCUAAAAUUAGAGGCUUUGUUUGGAUCUCUUGUUUGUUUACAAGUAUCGAUCUUCAGAGGAAAAUGUUAUGGAAGGUCUCUAGUGUGUGCCUGGGGUUUGAAGGGGGUGCAUCUUUCGUGGAUCUAGUGCUUGGUAAAGAAUUAGCCUCAUAGGACAGUGCU